UUUCUUUCAUGUGAUUAAAGGUUACUUUAGGGACUUCUUUGUCCCAUUUUGUUGUUUCUUUUAGGUGGACAUGAAAGGGUGAAGGGCCACAUUAUCACAUGGUUUCUGACAACAUGAAUGAAUGGUAUCUGGGUACCACUCACUCCUUUCCUUUUCACUCUUUAACCUCUUUCAUGCUUAAACAUUUUUUCCUUAAUUGUAUUUUGCCAUUUUGCUUUAAUGGGUAUUUUGCAAGUCCCUUAUAUGCUACAGUUUACUAGUCUUGCUGCCAGCAGAAUUGGCCCCUCACCACACAAUUUGGGAGUUCAAACAGAAAAGAAACUGGGGCAUUGUCACCUUCUGUUGGCAGUUGUGGGGAUUAGUUGGAUGAUUUAGCAUCAAAAAAAAAAAAAAAGAAAAAGAAAAAGAUUUUGCAUAAUUGUACCAUUUGUCCAUCUUGUUAAGUUCUUGUUCUAUUUAGGGUAGAUGUUUGUUGCUCAUGUUUUGGGCAGCAAGUGAGAGUUGUAGCAGGACCAGCAUGGCAGUUGUGUGUGUGGUGGAUGACCCAAGUGUCUAUUGAUUUUGCAGUGUAGGUCUUUGGGAGGUUAAGAUGUCAAAAUCUAAGCACUCCUUUGCCUCAUGGGAAAUAGCUGGCCAUCUCAAUCAAAAUUUUAGGCUCUCUUUUUUGUCUCUAAUUUGGUUGCUAAGUUUGAGUAGCCUCCUCAAUUAUUUAUUGUAUUAUGUAAAGUAAGAGGUACUAAUCACAGCAUUUGAGCAUUCCCUUCUCUGUUUGCAUAGAUUAGACAAUCUAAGGAUGGAU
rnacentral:lncRNA from 1 species